rnacentral:piRNA from 1 species
UAGUUUUAAGGUUCAUAGUCUAGGUGUAC